rnacentral:ncRNA from 1 species
GUAAAUUUAGUUCUUUAUUUAUUAUUAAUUAAAAUUUACUUUAUUGAAAUAACAUUUUUAAAAUUUAAAGUUUUAUUUAUACUUAAAAUUUCAAUUUAUUAUUAUUUAAUAUGUAAAUAUUACAUUAAAAAUUUAUUUGCAGUUUUUAGUUUUAAAACAUUAUUUAAGUAAGUUUUAGUAAUUAAUUAUAGAUUUAAUAAAAUUUGUGCCAGCAAUUGCGGUUAUACAAAUAAUUCAAUUGAAAUUUAUUGGUUAAUAAUUAAUUUGUUUUAAUUAAUUUAUUAUUAAAAUUUUUAAGUGAAAUUUAAAUUUUAAUAUAAUUUUUUUGUUUAUAUUUGAAGUUAUUAAAAUUAAUAUUAAACUAGGAUUAGAUACCCUAUUAUUAUAAUUGUAAAGUUUAAAUACCAGAUUAGUAUUAGUUGUUUUCUUAAAAAUUAAAGGAUUUGGCGGUAUUUUAGUCUAUUCAGAGGAACCUGUCCUGUAAUCGAUAAUCCACGAUUAGAAUAACUUUUCUUUUUCUUGUAUAUCGUUGUUUUUGAAUAUUUUAUAAGAAUUUAAAUUUUCAAUAAGUAUAUUUUAGUUAAUUUCAGAUCAAGGUGCAGUUUAUAGGAAAGAAGAUGAUGGGUUACAUUAAAUUUAUUUUUGGUUUAAUAUUUUGAAUAAUAUUAUUAAAUUGGAUUUGAUAGUAAUAUUUUAUAUAUUUAUUAUAUGAUUUUAGCUCUAAAAUGUGUACAUAUUGCCCGUCGCUCUCAUUUAUUUGAGAUAAGUCGUAACAAAGUAGAUUUACUGGAAAGUGAAUCUAGUAUUAAU